rnacentral:misc_RNA from 1 species
UCAUCAUCAUUCUGACCAUCAUCUGCAUCAUUAUCAUCGAUUUCAUUCCCAUUUUCAGUUUCAUCCUCAACAAGCUUUUCAAAAUUUUCUUGUUCAUCACCAGAUUCCAAAUUCAAUUGUUCUCUUGCUACUGUUUUUGAACGGCGUGGCCGUAGUCCUUCACGUCGAGGGGUUGAUCUGGUAUUCAUAAUCUUCUUGAACUUAGGAGAUGAUAAUUCAUCCUGACUGACACUAUUAUCAAUCCGGUUCCUCAAGGUUCGAUAAGUUGGUUUCAUCAAGUCUUCAUCUUCUGAUCCAGAACUGUCUGUAUAAUCUUCAAGAUUUACAGAAAUCCUCCUCUUUCUGGUCGAGCGUCGAAGAUUGGUUGCAACUGAAUUAUUAUUUGGGCUCCGUGUUGGCCGAUUUGAUGGACACAACAUCUUAGCAAUUCGAGAUGCAGCUGUCCUCGUCUUAGUUUUACCUUUCCUGCUUCGAAUGAUGGUUGGAGUGUAAUACAAGUAUGUACGACUAAAAACUUUUGGCCUCCUCCUGAGCCUAUCACUUGUUCGUACUGGCCUUGAAACAGGCCCAUCUCCUUGGCCAGAACGCUUUGGAUACAUAUGCAAAUGAUAGCUCUAGUGAUUAUUCUCUUCCAUGCAACUUGAAAUGCCUGAUCAGAGAUCUAGCUACACAGGGAGAGCGAGCGAGCCGAGCUUAAGAAC